UACGUAGGGUGCAAGCGUUAAUCGGAAUUACUGGGCGUAAAGCGUGCGCAGGCGGCUUUGCAAGACAGAUGUGAAAUCCCCGGGCUCAACCUGGGAACUGCAUUUGUGACUGCAUGGCUAGAGUGCGGCAGAGGGGGAUGGAAUUCCGGCGUGUAGCAGUGAAAUGCGUAGAUAUGCGGAGGAACACCGAUGGCGAAGGCAAUCCCUGGGCCUGCACUGACGCUCAUGCACGAAAGCGUGGGGAGCAAACAGG
rnacentral:rRNA from 1 species